rnacentral:rRNA from 1 species
UCGGGAAUUUUGGGCAAUGGGGGAAACCCUGACCCAGCAACGCCGCGUGAAGGAUGAAGUAUUUCGGUAUGUAAACUUCGAAAGAAUAGGAAGAAUAAAUGACGGUACUAUUUAUAAGGUCCGGCUAACUACGUGCCAGCAGCCGCGGUAAUACGUAGGGACCAAGCGUUGUUCGGAUUUACUGGGCGUAAAGGGCGCGUAGGCGGCAUGACAAGUCACUUGUGAAAUCUCUGGGCUUAACCCAGAACGGCCAAGUGAUACUGUCGCGCUAGAGUGCAGAAGGGGCAAUCGGAAUUCUUGGUGUAGCGGUGAAAUGCGUAGAUAUCUGGAGGAAUACCGGUGGCGAAGGCGGCAUCCUGGACCAUUACUGACGCUGAGGCGCGAAAGCUAGGGGAGCAAA